UUUGGGCAUGGUAGUACAUACCUGUAGUGCCAUUACUCGGGAGGCCGAGAGAGGAUGAUCUCACAAAGCCCAGGAGUUCUGGGAUAUAGUGUGCUAUGCUGAUUGGAUGUCUGCAUUAAGUCUGGCAUCAAUGUGGUCACCUCUCAGGAGCAGAGGACCACCAGGGUGUCUAAGGAGAGGUGAACCCAGGUUGGAAACAGAGCAGGUAAAAAUUCCCAUGCUAAUCAGUAGUGGGAUGAUGCCUAUGAAUAAACACGCACCCCAGCCUGGAAAACUCAUCUCU
rnacentral:SRP_RNA from 10 species